rnacentral:lncRNA from 1 species
AUUGUGGAAUUCGUACUUGUUAAAUUAUAGCAUGUUUUUGGGCUAAAAAAAUAAAUAAUACCAUAUGUACGCACUCUCGCGGAAAGUAGAAUACAUAUAUUGAAGUGAUUAAUUUUUCUGAAAUAUGUGUGAAGUGUACUCGUAUAUGAUUGUAACAAAGCUACAUGUUGGUGAGAUAUUCGUUACUGUCCUUAUCUACUUUCAGGAGCUAUUGGAUAUAACAUUACUAAUCUCUCAGAACAUUUUUUUUUUUUUUUUUUUUUUUUUUUUUUUUUUUUUUUUUUUUUUUUUUUUUUUUUUUUUUUUUUUUUUUUUUUUUUUUUUUUUUUUUUUUUUUUUUUUUUUUUUUUUUUUUUUUUUUUUUU